UACGUAGGGGGCAAGCGUUGUCCGGAUUUAUUGGGCGUAAAGAGCGUGUAGGCGGCCAGGUAGGUCAGCUGUGAAAACUCGAGGCUCAACCUCGAGACGUCGGUUGAAACCAUCUGGCUAGAGUCCGGAAGAGGAGAGUGGAAUUCCUGGUGUAGCGGUGAAAUGCGCAGAUAUCAGGAGGAACACCAAUUGCGAAGGCAGCUCGCUGGAACGUAACUGACGCUGAGACGCGAAAGCGUGGGGAGCAAACAGG
rnacentral:rRNA from 1 species